AUUGAGCGCUGGCGGCAUGCCUUACACAUGCAAGUCGAACGGUAACAGGUCUUCGGAUGCUGACGAGUGGCGAACGGGUGAGUAAUACAUCGGAACGUGCCCGAUCGUGGGGGAUAACGAAGCGAAAGCUUUGCUAAUACCGCAUAAGAUCUAAGGAUGAAAGCAGGGGACCGCAAGGCCUUGCGCGAACGGAGCGGCCGAUGGCAGAUUAGGUAGUUGGUGGGAUAAAAGCUUACCAAGCCGACGAUCUGUAGCUGGUCUGAGAGGACGACCAGCCACACUGGGACUGAGACACGGCCCAGACUCCUACGGGAGGCAGCAGUGGGGAAUUUUGGACAAUGGGCGAAAGCCUGAUCCAGCCAUGCCGCGUGCAGGAUGAAGGCCUUCGGGUUGUAAACUGCUUUUGUACGGAACGAAAAGACUCUUUCUAAUAAAGAGGGUCCAUGACGGUACCGUAAGAAUAAGCACCGGCUAACUACGUGCCAGCCGCCGCGGUAAUAC
rnacentral:rRNA from 1 species